UGAUGAUGAUGAUGAUGUACAUGCUUCGCUGCUUCUAUUACAUAUUCUUUCAGCGAAUAGUUGAUUCCUUUUUCCCCGACUCUUCGCCUUCGAUUCUCCAUGAGUUGAUCUUGGAUAUCACGGCAAUCAGUAGUGCAGGCUACAAUGCAGACUCUCCCUAGCCGGCUCCACCGAUUAUUGCCAGCAGAGCUGCUAUCCCUUCGGGCCAUGGACAGCAAAUAGGUGGAGGUCAUGCUGCUAUAACUAGCCCUACGG
rnacentral:lncRNA from 1 species